CUAUACAUGCAGUCGAGCGAUCGAUGGGAGCUUGCUCCCUGAGAUUAGCGGCGGACGGGUGAGUAACACGUGGGCAACCUGCCUAUAAGACUGGGAUAACUUCGGGAAACCGGAGCUAAUACCGGAUACGUUCUUUUCUCGCAUGAGAGAAGAUGGAAAGACCGUU
rnacentral:rRNA from 1 species